AAGGCGAUUAGUUUAAGAGAUUAAUUGAUUGACGAUAAUCACAGAAGAAGCACCGGCUAACUCCGUGCCAGCAGCCGCGGUAAUACGGAGGGUGCGAGCGUUAAUCGGAAUGACUGGGCGUAAAGGGCACGCAGGUGGUGACUUAAGUGAGGUGUGAAAUCCCCGGGCUUAACCUGGGAACAGCAUUUCAGACUGGGUGACUAGAGUACUUUAGGGAGGGGUAGAAUUCCACGUGUAGCGGUGAAAUGCGUAGAGAUGUGGAGGAAUACCGAAGGCGAAGGCAGCCCCUUGGGAAGAUACUGACGCUCGAGUGCGAAAGCGUGGGGAGCAAACAGGAUUAGAUACCCUGGUAGUCCACGCUGUAAACGAUGUCGAUUUGGGGAUUGGGUGAACACUUGGUGCCCGAAA
rnacentral:rRNA from 1 species